UACGAACUGUGCGAACGUUAUUCGGAAUCACUGGGCUUACAGGGUGCGUAGGCGGCUCAACAAGUCAGGUGUGAAAGCCCCCAGCUCAACCGGGGAACUGCGCUUGAAACUGUUAGGCUCGAGUCAGCUAGAGGUACACGGAACUUCCAGUGGAGCGGUGAAAUGUGUUGAUAUUGGAAGGAACACCGGAGGCGAAAGCGGUGUACUGGGGCUGGUCUGACGCUGAGGCACGAAAGCCAGGGGAGCGAACGGG
rnacentral:rRNA from 1 species